rnacentral:rRNA from 1 species
UUACACGGCCACGCCACCCCGAACACAUGCCGUCUGAUCUCGGAAGCUAAGCAGGGUUGGGCCUGGUUAGUACUUGGAUGGGAGACCGCCUAGGAAGACCGGGUGCUAUAGGUG